rnacentral:lncRNA from 1 species
UUGUGAGCAAGCGUCCAAUAAGAUUUUGUGUGUGUGUCUUGCUCGUAUGGUGUCAUACCAUUGCAAUAACGGACCAAACAAAGGAAGAAAUUUAUGGAGUUAUCCACUUUUUGGCAGGUUCAUAUCUUUUUCAACUCAAAUGAUUUCUGAUUUGUACUAUAUUGAAAUAGGUUUGGAUAUGGUUGCAUGAUGGUGACACUUGUAAUUUGUUUAUUUGGGAUGAAGACAUAGAACAAGGAAAAAAUAUUGUUGAAUUUGUAAAUGAUGAUUGUAGCAAGAUGAAGGGUUGGAAGUUGUUAAAAUUAUGAAGGAGUUGUACGAAUUUUCAAAGAAGAAGAACAAGUAACUGUAGAAGAAACAUAACUCAAAGGGAUUUGCUGGAAAACUAAAGUUAAUAUGUGUUGUAUUUUCAUGUAUGUUAAACGUUUAAUUGAUAAUGAAGUGAAA